rnacentral:sRNA from 1 species
UGGAAGUGUACCUAGGGUUCCGGAGAAAUAUCUUUAUUAUUUAUAUACUUGUAUUUCUCGACUGGUCCAAGUGGUACAGGUAUUACUUUUUUAGUAAUAUUACACCGUGGGGAUAAAAGCCCGGUCGGG